rnacentral:rRNA from 1 species
CGAUCUGGCUCAGGAUGAACGCUGGCGGCGUGCUUAACACAUGCAAGUCGAACGAGGAUACCGGUUGAAAUUUCGAAUGGAAACGGGUAAUACCUAGUGGCGGACGGGUGAGUAACGCGUGGGAACCUGCCCAUUCCGGGGGAUACCAGUUGGAACGACUGUUAAUACCGCAUAAGCGCACAGUACUGCAUGGUACGGUGUGAAAAAACCACGGUGGAAUGGGGAUGGACCCGCGUCUGAUUAGCCAGUUGGCAGGGUAACGGCCUACCAAAGCGACGAUCAGUAGCCGGCCUGAGAGGGCGACCGGCCACAUUGGGACUGAGACACGGCCCAAACUCCUACGGGAGGCAGCAGUGGGGAAUAUUGCACAAUGGGGGGAACCCUGAUGCAGCGAACCGCCGCGUGAGUGAAGAAGUAUUUCGGUAUGUAAAGCUCUAUCAGCAGGGAAGAAGAUGACGGUACCUGCACAAGAAGCCCCGGCUAACUACGUGCCAGCAGCUGC